UAAUUUUAUGAUUUGUGCCUUUUUCAGGUGUACGUUUCAUUAGUUUAUAAUAAAAGGGCCAGAAUUAUGUCAGCUGCUACUUUAUACAACAAUAUAGGUAAACGUUAGCUGCUACUUUAUUAGUCAGUGCAAUAAAAGGGCCAGAAUUAUGUCUUCUAAAUAAGGUUUUCAGAUCACAACCACAUAUGUUUAAGAAAGAAGCUCCGUUUUCUGCCAAGGAAUAAGUAUGUAACCUCUUGAUUUAAUGGGUGUGAAGAAAUUGACAAGGGGAGCAGCUGCAACUUACACCUUAUAGGGAGACUAUGUAACAAGAUGUAGUGGUCUAACUCUCAUCUCACCUGACAAAGUAAUAUUAGAAAACUUGCUUAUAGUUGUAAAACAAAGUUGAUUAGAAUACCGCAUGCCACCUAUGUUUAUAUAUAUAUAUAAGGUAUAUAUAUGUACACUGCAACUUGAGACCACAACUUUUGCUUCUCUAAUAUAUGUUCGUUGAUUACAUAAAUGGAUUUUUUUGCGGGAAUACAUCAAUGGAAUUUAAUCAUACAAUAGAAUAUAGUGCUGAGUAUAGAUAUUAUUUUGAGAAGAAGGUGUUUGAAAGUAUACAUGUUCCCUUCUGUUUAAAUAUAGUUUGAUAAGAGUAUAUAUCUACAACCGUGUCAAGGCAGUGCUUCGCAUACUCUUUCAUGUGUACCAUAUAGAUGUGGGAUAAGUUAGUGUGACUGGCUUGCAAAAUGUGUGUGCAUAAACUCCACUAAGUUUAUUUCUAGAAUUUAAUGCCUAAUAUAUUAUCUUACAGCCUGCUUGAAGCUAUAGUCUAUGACAAUUAUAUUAUCACCCAAUCACAUUUAAUCAUCAAAUGAGGAAAUUAUAAAAACAUGAGAACUAUAGAACCUAUUCAAAAGUCCCCCGGUUGUAACAUUGUUCAAAACCAUGCACACACGUAACUAAUGUUUUUAGUCUGGAAUUAUUUUUAUGAUCUCUUUAUUUUAAAUACAGAUUUUAAAAGUGACAUGUUCAAGUGGAGAUAAGUUUUAAACAAGUAUAGUUUACUAGCUAUAUAAAAUGAAACUAGCCCGUGCAGGUGCACGGGUUAACAGCUAGUAUAUUUAGUUUCUCCACUAAAUAUGGGCAUAUCUUUCAGUUUUUGCACUCAAUAUGAGUAAAUGUUAUUUUUUUCCAGUUAAAACAGAGUGUACAUGUUUCAGUUUUUAGCACUGAACAUGAUCUGUUCUUUCACCAAUACAGAGUGUAAAUGUUCACUUUGUUUCCACAUAUAUAUAUUGAGUUAAAACAAUGUGUAAAGGUUCACUUUUUCACAUACUAUGAUCUGUUCUUCUACCUGCACAGAGCAGAUUUUCCACACAAUGUAACAAAUUAAGUGUAAAUGUUCAGUCUUGUAAUGAGCACGUGUGUGGUAUUUCUGUUGGUAUGUAUGUAUCCCUGUUGUCUCGUCGUGUAUUGCAGCUACUAAUGCAGUUUUGUUAUGGUUUUUUCAACAGGGCUGGCUUUACAGACAUAAAAGGCAUGUUGUGGCAACAUCAGUACUAAGUACAGGGAAGUAGCUUUUAAUGGAUUAUUCUGGCUGUGUGAUGCAUCUCUUCUUGUUAUAUCCUAAAUCUUGCAUGUGGUUCACAACAAAUUAUGGAUUAUUAUGUAGCAUUUGUAACAUGUGAUGCAGUAACAUAUGCUAGAGUUCAAUGUUAAUACAUCAAGCAGAGCCUAAUAGAGUCCUUUUCUUUUGCGUGAUUUGCAUUUUUUAUUUGUGUUGACAGAUAGUUUAUUUUGGUUGCUUAACUCGGUAUUUUUUUGUUCAAACUUCAUGUUACUUGAGCUAACUAUAGAGAAUUAUAUCACUUAAACUAAAAAAUGGAUAAAAACUAUCCAGCUGAUUACCUUUGUUAUUCUAUCAAGAUAUUCUGUGAGGCUUUUUAUCAAGCUGCCACAUAUAAAGAAACUUGCCUCCAUGCUGCUGCGUUAUGCCAGUUUUACAAGCUAGCUAGCUAAGUGCUAGGAUCUAUAUGGGGUACUCUCAGCUAGAUAUAUCAUGGCAAGUAUAUAUGCGUUACUUUUUUAUGUGCUACUGUAUUAAACUGUGUAGUGUCCAUGCAGUGUGGCCAACUUUGCCAAACAACUAAAAGAUCUGUUUAAACCUUUUCUCGACACCUAUUUUAUUGGAAUGUUGAACUGAUAGAAAAUUAUUUCAACUAACGUCCUCUUCAUGCCUGAUAUUGAAUAGCUAUAAAGGAACCAAGUCUCGUUUCUCUGUUAUUCUUAUUCAUACAAGUUAGCAUAUUAUGAUCUAUAAAAUUAACUAGGCGCUUUUAUAUAGCCCCGACUUCUACUAUUUCAGCUUCAAUUGAAACUAUCUUUUCGAACUCAGAAGAAGCUGAGGACAGAAGGAUGGCAAAAGAAGCUUCGUUUCUCAUUGAAAUUAUCUGUGAUCAGCUAAAACUUGUGUUUCUCAUCCAAUCUAUAGAACUAUGUUGAUGUGCGAUUGUGCACUUGUUGGGUCCUUUUGUUGUGCACUUGUACUUGUAGAACUAUUUUGUUCUGCACUUGUUAAAUUAUUUUGAUGUUCAGUUGUUGGCCUUGAGCCUUGAUAUGUAGAGGAGUCGAUGGCUGAUAUACUAUGUUUCAUGUGAUGUGCUACUGAAAUAAAAUAUAUAG
rnacentral:lncRNA from 1 species